GACGAACGCUGGCGGCGCGCUUAACACAUGCAAGUCGAACGGUGAACCGGGCUUCGGCCUGGGGAUCAGUGGCGAACGGGUGCGUAACACGUGGGCAACCUGCCCCUCACUCUGGGAUAACCCCGGGAAACCGGAGCAAAUACCGGAGACUACGACCGGACCACCUGGUCCGAUCGGGAAAGGUCCGCCGGGGAGGGAUGGGCCCGCGGCCAAUCAGGUUGUUGGUGAGGGAACGGCACAACAAGGCGACGGCGGGUAGCUGGUCUGAGAGGGCGACCAGCCACACUGGGACUGAGAUAGGGACCAGACUCGUACGGGAGGCAGCAGUGGGGAAUCUUGCGCAAUGGGCGAACGCCUGACGCAGCGACGCCGCGUGGGGGACGAAGGCCCUCGGGUUGUAAACCCGUUUCGGUAGGGACGAAGCGAUCGUGACGGUACCUGCAGAAGAAGCCUCGGCUAACUACGUGCCAGCAGCCGCGGUAA
rnacentral:rRNA from 1 species